GGAGUUGUGGCUCAGUGGUAGAGUGCUUGCCUAGCAUGUGUGAGGCCCUGAGUUGGAUCCUCAGCACCA
rnacentral:tRNA from 1 species